CCCUGUAUUCGAAAGUGAUCGUGGGCUGCCUGUGCCCUGGUCAUCGAUAGUGCAGGGAGAGGAUUCGGAAAGCCUCUCCCCGUGUUUGGAGGAGCCACUCCUGUGUCCUACCAAACCCUGGUGCUUUCCCACA